rnacentral:rRNA from 1 species
AUUGAACGCUGGCGGCGUGCUUAACACAUGCAAGUCGUGCGAGAAAGGGGACUUCGGUCCCUGAGUAGAGCGGCGCACGGGUGAGUAACGCGUGGAUUAUCUACCCAGAUAUUCGGGAUAACGGUGGGAAACUGCCGCUAAUACCGGAUACGCUCCAAUUUCGGUUGGGGGAAAGGCGGCCUCUGCUUGCAAGCUGUCGUAUCUGGAUGAGUCCGCGUCCCAUUAGCUUGUUGGCGGGGUAAAGGCCCACCAAGGCUACGAUGGGUAGCUGGUCUGAGAGGAGGAACAGCGACGCUGAAGCCGGAACGCGGUCCAGACUCCCGCGGGAGGCAGCAGGAGGGAAUAUGGCGCAAUGGGGGGAACCCUGGCGUAGCGACGCCGUGUGAGGGAAGAAGGCUUUCGGGUCGUAAACCUCUGUCGGGAGGGAAGAACCUUCCAGGUCUGAAUAAGGCCUGGAGCUGACGGUACCUCCAAAGGAAGCACCGGCUAACUCCGUGCCAGCCGCCGCAGUAA